rnacentral:rRNA from 1 species
AACCUGGUUGAUCCUGCCAGUAGUCAUAUGCUUGUCUUAAAGAUUAAGCCAUGCAUGUCUAAGUAUAAAUAGUAUACAGUGAAACUGCGAAUGGCUCAUUAAAACAGUUAUAGUUUAUUUGAUAAUUGAAUACUACAUGGAUAACCGUGGUAAUUCUAGAGCUAAUACAUGCGUCAAAACCUGACUUUUUGAAGGGUUGUAUUUAUUAGAUACUAAACCAAUAGUCUCUGACUAUUGUGAUGAUUCAUAAUAACUGAUCGAAGCGAGGCUUGCCUCGCUAAAUCAUUCAAGUUUCUGCCCUAUCAGCUUUCGAUGGUAGUGUAUUGGACUACCAUGGCAGUCACGGGUAACGGGGAAUUAGGGUUCGAUUCCGGAGAGGGAGCCUGAGAAACGGCUACCACUUCUAAGGAAGGCAGCAGGCGCGUAAAUUACCCAAUCCCGAUUCGGGGAGGUAGUGACAAGAAAUAACAACUCGGGUCCUUCGGGAUUACGAGAUUGCAAUGAGGACAAUUUAGACCACUUAUCGAGGAACAAUUGGAGGGCAAGUCUGGUGCCAGCAGCCGCGGUAAUUCCAGCUCCAAUAGCGUAUAUUAAAGUUGUUGCAGUUUAAAAAGCUCGUAGUUGACUUCUGACUGUUUCGAAAGCUGGCUUUUGUCGCUUUCGUGACAGUCAUCCGCUUGGGAACUCCGUUCGAACUUCAUUGUUUGGCGGAAGGAACAGGCAUUUUACUUUGAAAAAAUUAGAGUGUUCAAGGCAGGCUAUAGCCCUGAAUACACAAGCAUGGAAUAAUGAAAUAGGACUGGUUCCAUUUUAUUGGUUAUUGGACUAGUAAUGAUUAAUAGGGACAGUUGGGGGCAUUAGUAUUUAAUUGUCAGAGGUGAAAUUCCUGGAUUAAUUAAAGACUAACUUAUGCGAAAGCAUUUGCCAAGGAUGUUUUCAUUAAUCAAGAACGAAAGUUAGGGGAUCAAAGACGAUCAGAUACCGUCCUAGUCUUAACUAUAAACUAUGCCGACUAGGGAUUGGCCAGGUAAUUAAAACCCGGUCAGCACCUUAUGAGAAAAUCAAAAGUCUAUGGGUUCUGGGGGGAGUAUGGUCGCAAGGCUGAAACUAAAAGGAAUUGACGGGAAGGGCACCACCAGGAGUGGAGCCUGCGGCUUAAUUUGACUCAACACGGGGAAACUUACCAGGUCAAGACAUAAGUGGGAUUGACAGAUUGAGAGCUCUUUCUUGAUUCUAUGGGUGGUGGUGCAUGGCCGUUCUUAGUUGGUGGAGUGAUUUGUCUGGUUAAUUCCGUUAACGAACGAGACCUUAACCUGCUAACUAGUCGCUCCAACACCCGUUGGAAGUGACUUCUUAGAGGGACUUUGUAUGCAAGUACAAGGAAGUUUGAGGCAAUAACAGGUCAGUGAUGCCCUUAGAUGUCCUGGGCCGCACGCGCGCUACACUGACACGUGCAACGAGUAUAACCUGGUCCGGAAGGACGUCGGGUAAUCUUUUUAGUACGUGUCGUGCUGGGGAUAGAUCUUUGCAAUUAUAGAUCUUGAACGAGGAAUUCCUAGUAAGCAUAAGUCAUCAGCUUGUGCUGAUUACGUCCCUGCCCUUUGUACACACCGCCCGUCGCUCCUACCGAUUGAGUGGUUCGGUGAACUUUUUGGACUGCGCAGGCUUUAGUCUGUGCGGGAAGUUAAUUAAACCAUAUCACUUAGAGGAAGGAAAAGUCGUAACAAGGUUUCCGUAGGUGAACCUGCAGAAGGAUC